CUUUCACUAAAUUUAUAAUCGUGCCCACUAUAAAAGCAAUGCUUUAACUGCAAAAGGUGCAUUGUAGAUGGGUUGUGGUUACUACAUCCAAUUCCACAUCGACUAUUAAUCUUAAAGUGGUAUAAGAGAGAAGUGGAACCAAUGAUGGAAGUGGCUCGUUCGUGUAUUUACUCAAACACAGUCGAUCACAAGACAGCUAGUGUUGCUCCUUCAGUGUCGACCACAAAGUCCAAGGCAUAACUUUUUAUACACCAACUCGUUUGGUUUAAAAAUCGAAAAGAAUUUAGAUUUUUUUUUCCCUUUGACAUGCUAGGUUAAACAUAGAGAAAUUUCAAUUUCUUUUCAUCAAUUUGUCCUUGAAAUCCAUAAACCAGAAAGGUUUUGAUUAU